rnacentral:pre_miRNA from 1 species
UUGGUACUCCCUCCGUCCGAAAAUACUUGUCAUCAAAAUGAAUAAAAGGAGAUGUAUCUAGAUAUAUUUUAGUUCUAGAUACAUCUCUUUUUAUCCAUUUUGAUGACAAGUAUUUUCGGACGGAGGGAGUAAUAC